rnacentral:lncRNA from 1 species
AUUCCUCUCCUUUACCUGCCUGCCUCGUUACUUAAGGUACACAAGCUGCCCAAGCUGCAGCAUUACGUUACGGAUUACAAAACUGUGCAGGACCAUGAUUGGCCACCAGGGCCACCCUUUAUAAAAAUUGACAGAAGAGAGGAGGACGUAGACAUUCAGGGCUCCUUCUCUUUCAUGACCUGGAACAACAGCCUGCUGAGGCCAACCCAGCACAAAUCUCUAUUUUUUUUCUCUUUCUUUUAUAUUUUUUUUGUUACAGUUCUUAUUCAUCUUUGGGUAAAGUGAGGGUGGGUGACAUUUUGCUUGAUUACCUUGUCUCCUGUUUUAGUAAUAGUGAGCUGGGGUAGUUUAUGUAUUUUGUUUUCAUUAUUUUCAGUUAGGUAUCUCAGUUAGUAUGUUUUGUUUAUUAAUUUGGCCUAUGCUCACCCCUAAAGACAUUCUCCCCAUUUCUGUUUCAAUAAAAUCAUCUUGGUUUAUUUAAUUUGCA